AACACUGUUAACCUGCGGUACCUGCGGAGGGAUCAUUCCCAAUUUUUUUUUUCUCUCUUCAUUGAGAGGAAAGAAUUUGGUAUUCACCCAGUCUAUUGCAACGAUUCCUGGGUUAACAAAGAAUGGAUUUUCAAUUAAAAACAUUUUUUUUUAAUUACCAAUUGAUUCUUAAUUGAAUUGAAGUAUAAAAAAAAAGAAAGAAGGCUCUCAAUUUGAGAGACUUUGGACUUUUUUUAAACA
rnacentral:misc_RNA from 1 species